UUCUUUAUAGAAACAAUGGUCGGAUUUUCGAGGAAUUAGAUAAUAGUUUCCAAGAUAAUGAACUAAGGCCAUACACCAACUAUAAAUACACUUUAGCAGCUUCUACAAAAGUUGGAUACGGAAAAAACAUAUCUAUAUCUUGUACAACUCAGGAAGACAGACCAAGUGAAGUGGUUAAUUUAACUUCUAUAAAUGUUACACAUUCAUCUCUAUGUUUAAAAUGGGGAGAACCAGAGAUUCCUAAUGGCAGAGUUAUAUAUUGUAUUCAAACGGAUAACUGUGAAACAAACACAAAAAAUUUGUAUUAUUGUCGCAAUGAUUUACAGCCUUUUACAAAAUAUCACUUUUUUGUGUUCGCAUGUACACAUGUUAAUGAUAUUUUUUUGUGCUCUGAAAAACAAGAUUUAGUUAUUACCACAGAUU
rnacentral:lncRNA from 1 species